rnacentral:tRNA from 1 species
UAGCUCAGCGGCAUAAGCACCUGCCUUGCAAGCAGGUGGUCCUGGGUUCGAUCCCCGG